UGAGGAACAGAGUGACACUCCCUCUCCUCCCGGCUGAAACUGAUGAACAAUGAAAUCAAUUAAGUGUAUCAGUAUUUGACCAAUAGAAUUCAGCGAGCCCAAACUGGCAAGUUAUGCCCAAUGGAAAGUACUGAAUUCACCUGCAGAAUUAGGUGCUUUGCCAAUUAGAAGCAGCUUAGAGCAAUCAGAAAAAUUACUUCAUAUGAUGAGAUAUAAAAGAAUGUAAUAUCUUCUAUUUCUGAAACUUUUCUUUGUUAAGUUGUGUAGAGCUAAAAUUAAGUUUCAAGCGCCAGGAGUUAAGAGUCUGGGUUGUUCUGUGGGAUCGUUAGUCAGGGAUGUGUCUAGAUCCUGCUAGAGUGUCUGAAGGUGGCAGGAAAAGACCCAGGGCUAGGAUUUGUUAUCCUAGGGUGUCCUCCAUAAUGGUUCCAUAAUGGUUACAUGUGGGAGCCCAAGAUUAGGUUAACAAAUUGUAACAGACCCCAGCCGCCUGUCAAUGUUCAGAAGAAAAAUGUGUGCUUAGUAACUGCUUUGCAAGCAGGAGCCUGUGCAUCCUCACUCCUGUCUCCUUGCCUUAAAAAGCAGAGACAAUGCUUUGCUUGCAUAGUUGAUGCUUUAGAUAGCACUCUGCUCAUUUCAAAGCAAGGACCCAGGCCCUCAGCUAUAAAAGCUGGGCUUGUGUGCUUUUAGAUAGUCUAUUAUCCCGAAAACAAGGACCUGGCUGGUCUCGUGGUCUGCUUUGUAAUUCACAAUCUAAAGAAUGUAUCUUAUUCCCCUCACCCCAUGACUUCCCUAAAGAUACACUAAGCCUUUGUACUCAUUGUGGAUUCUACAAUCUCUGUCUCCUCCCGUCUUUCCUCAAGUUCCUACUUACUAUCAAACAACAGUUAAUGACUUUUUCCUUUCGUUAUACACAGUAAAUAUAGGAGCAUUUGAGAGGCUUGUGGAGUUGGCUCCCUACUCCUUCUCUUUUUCUGGAAUUUUCCCACAGAGUCUUGAAUAAUCAUUCCGUGUCGGUACGACUUCUGCCAGCCAUAACCCACAGUUCCAGAUCGUUUUGGUUACUGAGACCCUCGAAUUCCCAUAUGAAUUAUAACAGCAGCUAAUCAGUUUUUGCAGAGGAGACCGCUGGGAUUGUGAUCGAGACCACGUAGAAUAUACGGAUCACUCUGGGGAGCACUGCCAUUCCAAGAGCACUGUCUUCUGAUCCAGGAAUGUACGUGGAGAGUCUGUCCAGGUGCCCUCACAUCCAGUGGCAUCCAUCCAGACACCAACACUGACACUGGCCAUGCUCAGAACUGCCUCAGCCCUGAAGACACAAGUGACAAAUAGAAGGGGGCCGCGCCCUGUUACAGCAGGUGCUCUCACUUUGUGGGUCCUUAUGUAACUGCGCAGUGUUAAUCAGGAUCUCCCGUUCUACAUUGUGUGGCGCUGCUGCAGUGUCUCCUAGUUAUUUGUUUCUGAGAAUUACGGCCUGCUGCUAGAGUGUUUGAUCAGGAUAAAUGAUUUGUUUCUAUAAGAUGCCACGUACAGUCACAAUCUCAGUGAGAAAUGGGCUGUCACCUCUUCAUCUGCAACUCAGUGCUCGACAGGACAUCGGGGCAAAGCCAGUCCGUAAUUUGUUUGUGAUGCAACUGUCCACGUGGGUCAAAUCAUGGUGCCCCUCUAAAACCUCCAAAAAAAAUCAAAGUUGAUUCUCUAUUUUGCAACUUGCCAUCUCUAUAUAAGUGCAGAAGAGUUAACAUCGUGAAAGAUCAGAGCCCGGAGAAUAGGCUCUCCUGGAUAUUUCAGGCUAAAGGCAACUUUCUUUUACAAAAGGAUCUGAGAAGCAGGAGCAAGGAACGCAGGGAGAGAUCCAGUAAGACAUCUGACUGUGUUAAGAGACGACAGUCAUAGCCACACAGGGAGCGAGGACACUUGCAGCAAAGUAAAACGACUUCACAACUAUUGCAUCAGAGCUGCCGGUGUGAGAGAGCCUAAGCCUGUCUCAGAGUGCAGGGGACAAGUGGAAAGGAAUGGCAAAAUUUCCACUGAAAAUUGAAAUUUUGUUAAAUAGCCUGCUACUGUUGCUUGUAUCACUUGAAUGAAUGCAGGCAUAUUGCUAUGGGCAUUUAUAUGUUCACUCAAACCCACCAGCCACUCUUGCCCCCAUCGGGGAUGGGCUUUCUCAAGCCCAGUGCACCUGCUGCUUGGGUGGGCCAUGCUGCGGGUCCUCGCCUGGGGCCGGGCUGCUGCAGGGCACUGAGUCCCCGAGGCACGGCCUGCGAGACACGACAGGAACACCUCUGCUCUUGA